rnacentral:rRNA from 1 species
GAUUAUUCGAUGCAACGCGAAAAACCUUACCUACCCUUGACAUGCUAGGAAGCUCGCAGAGAUGUGAGUGUGCCCGAAAGGGAACCUAGACACAGGUGCUGCAUGGCUGUCGUCAGCUCGUGUCGUGAGAUGUUGGGUUAAGUCCCGCAACGAGCGCAACCCUUGCCAUUAGUUGCUACAUUUAGUUGGGCACUCUAAUGGGACCGCCGGUGACAAACCGGAGGAAGGUGGGGAUGACGUCAAGUCCUCAUGGCCCUUAUGGGUAGGGCUUCACACGUAAUACAAUGGUCGGUACAGAGGGCAGCCAACCCGCGAGGGGGAGCUAAUCCCAGAAAGCCGAUCGUAGUCCGGAUUGUAGUCUGCAACUCGACUGCAUGAAGCCGGAAUCGCUAGUAAUCGCGGAUCAUCAUGUCGCGGUGAAUACGUUCCCGGGUCUUGUACACACCGCCCGUCACACCAUGGGAGUGGGUUCCACCAGAAGUAGGUAGCCUA